UCCCUGCCCUCCGCGCCGCGCCCAUUGGUUGGGUUUCUUCUCGGCCCCGCCCAGCGACGGGAGCCAGGCGCUGACGCAUGCGCACGAGCUCGCCGCCGCUGCCGCCGCUUCAGCACCAGCGCCCGGACAGCGGCGCCGCCCACGGGCAUGGACGCUGGGAGCAGCGGUAGCGGCGGCAGCGGACCGGCUCGAGGCCCGGGUCCCGAAGGGGAGCAGCGGCCCGAAGAGGAGCCCUUGGCUCCAGACGGCAGCUCCCCGGACAGGUGUUCCUUGUGUCACUCGCUGCUCUUGCUCCUUAGAGAUGCACCCAGGUAAGCCCAGUGGCCUGGAGGCCGUCGGGUGGAAGAGGAAGGGAGGAAGGGAAAUGGGGGAGGCUGGGCAGUCAGCCACACUCAGUGCCUGCCAAAAAUGUGUGUGUGUUUGUGGAAGGUGGCAGUAGGGUUCCAAAAUGAAAACAGGCCCUGAGAGUUGGAGAACAAUUUACCCAACCUUCAUCUCCCUCAGUCUCCUUCCUCGGGAGUGACACUGGCAGGUGCUUUUCCCACUGCACACAGGGCCUGGGGAAGUUAGGGGUCACAUAAAAAACCAUCCAGCUUCCAGGAGACAGCGGGUGAUUGCCCCCCGAGGAGCACUUCAGGACGCCAGACCACUUAGUCUGGUCACUACAGAAGUAAGCCCACGGGCCCCACAGCUAGGAGGCUGGAUGGGCCCUUCUAAGUGGGUUUCCCAUGGGGGUUGUCAUGGGGUCGAGCCAGAGAGAGCUCCAAGUGGCGGGAGGCAGGAACAAAGGCCAAGACCUGGGACCAGAAGCUCAUAAGCAGGAGCCAGCAAACCCCUCUGGGAGCUGAGCAGAGACUGGGCUAAGUGGGCCACAAGGGGGCACACUGGGGGAUGGGAUGUGUAGGGUUGGAAGCAGAAGAAGCAGGGUUCCCCUCUGCAUGUGCCUCCCCUAUUGUCAUGGAAUUUGGCCCAGGUUGGGAGGGCAGAUGAUCUGUGGUGUGAAGACAGGAACGCACUCCUCCCAACUGUCCCCACGCCACCGGGGAGACCGAGCUAGCUCCUGCACAAGCUAAUGAACUUGUGUGGCUUUGAAUAUGAGUCCGUUGUUGGGAGAGUGAAUGAGGGAAUGGUUGGCAGGCGAGUGACCAAGUCUCAGGAGCUCAGUUGGGGCUAGGGGUGUGGGUACAAAACCAGCACCAGGGGGAAGACAGGUGUUUUCAACAGAACAAAAUUACCAAAGCGGCUGCUUUUCUUUGCUUCGUCUCCCACAGGUCCCAAGGUAGGAAAGUUCUCCUGUUCUCCACCCUGCUGCUGUGUCCUCCAGACCCCAGCCUCCACCCCAGAGCCUCGGGAAACAAGCCACCACUUCCCCCAGAUGAAGAGCAGGGCGUGGGCUCAGGCAGCAGCCCCGCAGGGCGGGCACUGCUGCAUUUGUCCACCCCCUGCCGGCUGCAGCCUCCCCUUGGCAUUCUCUCUGCUUUCCCAUCUGUCUCCCCAGCCACCAGUCCUCUCUCCUGCUGCUUCCCCGCCUGUUCCCGCUUCUCUGCUUUCCUGCUACCCCCACAGCACUGCUAGAUGGCUGGCUUGCUCCCAGUUGCCCUGUUGGGGCCCCCUGGACCUGCCUCUGCGGAGAAGGGAGGCUGCCCUCCCUCCCCUCUCUCCUGCCACCACCACCAGCAGAUGCAGCUCCCAGGCCUGGGUCUGUGACCCCGCCAGGAAAACAGCCACGGAGGGAGAGGCAGACGGGGUGGGAAGAGGCUGUUCCAGGCAUCGCUGAGCCUGGAUGAGGAAGGGGCUGGCCUCAGGAAAGCCCCCAGCCCUGGAGCCAGCCUCUUCCCCAUUGGUGCCAAGCCCUAUCCAGGCCCUAAGGGCAGAAGUGACCUGGGGAGUCCUCCAGUGCCUGCGGUGGGGGCUCAGCUCCAGCCUGGCUUCACAGGGCCCCAGGCCCACAGUGCGGAGCACAGAAGCAAGGCGGAGUCUCCCUCCUUUUCCCUGGCCCUGUAGCAAGAGGCAAACAAACCUCUGUGGUCUUAGGGCCUCAGGAGGGGUUCCAGCCAAGACAGAAGGUUAAGCCACACUUUCCCCAGGCCUUUUGCCUGAGGCAGGAAAGCUUUGACUUUACUUCCAUUUAAAAAAUCGUAUAAAGCUUUUUUCUUUUUUUUUAAAGAUUUAUUUUAUUUAUUUGAAAGACAGAGUUACAGAGAGAGAUAGAGACAGAGACAGAGGUCUUCCAUCCACUGGUUCACUCCCCAGAUGGCCACAACAGCCAGAGCUUGUCGAUCCGAAGGCAUGAGCUUCUUCCAGGUCUCCCACGUGGGUGCAGGGGCCCAAGGACCUGAGCCAUCUUCUACUGCUUUCCCAGGCCAUAGCAGAGAGCUCAAUGGGAAGAGGAGCAGCUGGGACUAGAACCGGCACCCAUAUGGGAUGCUGGCACUUCAGACCAGGGCAUUAACCCACAGUGCCACAGCACUGGCCCCAAGCUUUAAAAAAAAAUCUCUAUUUUUGUUUUAUUUGAAAGGCAAAAUGACAGACAAAAUGUAACAACCAGGGCUGGGCCAGGCUGAAGCCAGGAGACUGGAACUCAAUCCCACGUGGUUGGCAGGGACCCAAGCACUUAAGCCAUGAGCUGCUGUCAGUGCACAUUAGCAGGAAGCUGGAGUCAGAAGCAGAGCCGGGAAUCAAACCCAGGCACUCCGACUCGGGAUGUGAGCAGCCCAAGCAGCAUCGUAACCACUGCAAAUGCCUGCCCCUGACUUCACCUUUUAUUCUUCCUGAUUUCUAGGGUCUGGCACUUGCUCAGGGUCAUGGGCUCACAUACACCCAUUCUCAUAUAUCCAUGCAUCCUAUGCACAUAUCUACGUACACAGCAGGCAUGUACCCACCCAUUCACAUGUCCACAGACAUGGCUGUUUGUAUGUAGAUGAAGGAUACCCGGCCUGCCACCAAACCCCUUGCUGGUGCCAGGAAUCCCAAGUCCCCUGGGGAGGUGGCUUGAGGGAAAGCUGAUCUCUAACUCAUUGCCCAUUUGCCUUUCCACAGGGACGGUGCUCUGGUGGCCAUCCUCCAAAUUGGUGUGGGCCUCCUCCUGGCCAUGGCCCAGGGCACUUUUGGCCCCAUCCUGGCCAUGGCCCUGGGCACUGUAGGCCCCAUCCUGGCCAUUGCCCAGGGCACUGUGGGCCCCAUCCUGGCCAUGGCCCAGGGUACUUUUGGCCCCAUCCUGGUCAUGGCCCAGGGCACUUUUGGCCCCAUCCUGGCCAUGGCCAUGGCCAUGGCCAUUGCCAUUGGCACCGUCGGCCACAUUACUGAAGAAACAGAAGAAAACAAGCCGAAAGAAGGAGGAGCCUGAGUGGACUGCCCCGUGGAUCUGGCAUGAGGCCCGAACAGAAAUCCUGUCUUCCUAAUAAACAGCCUGUUGAAGGCCAUGUCUGUUCUUCAAAGAG